rnacentral:misc_RNA from 1 species
AUUAUACAAAUUAUAAUUUAUAUAUUAAAUAUUAUAAUUAUAUUUUUUUUAGUAUUAAUUAACAUUUUAAUUAGAGUUGCAUUUUUAACUUUAUUUGAACGAAAAAUUUUAGCAUAUUUUCAUUAUCGAAAAGGACCAAAUAAAGUAAGAUUUAUAGGAUUAAUACAACCUUUUAGAGAUGCUUUAAAACUAUUAUCAAAAGAAUUUUUUUAUCCAAUAAAAUCAAAUUUUUAUUUUUAUUUAUUUGCUCCUAUAUUAAUAUUUAUUUUAAUUUUAAGAUUAUGAAUUAUUUAUCCUUUUAUAACAAAUUCAAUUAAUAUAAAAUUUAAUUUAAUAUUUUUUUUAAGAUUAUUAAGAAUAGGAGUUUAUGGAUUAAUAAUAUCUGGAUGAUCUUCUAAUAAUUCAUUUUCUAUAAUUGGGUCUUUACGGUCAAUUGCACAAUCAAUUUCUUAUGAAGUAACUUUAUCAAUUUCUUUAUUAUUAAUUUUAAUAAUAAUUAAUAAUAUUAAUUUAAAUUAUUUAUACAAUUAUCAAAAAUAUUUAUAUAUUUUUAUUUUAUUUAUACCUUUAAUAAUUAUAAUAUUUAUUAGUAUACUAGCAGAAAUUAAUCGAACUCCUUUUGAUUUAUCAGAAGGAGAAUCAGAGUUAGUUUCUGGAUUUAAUAUUGAAUAUAGAAAUAGUAAAUUUAUUCUUAUCUUUUUAGCAGAAUAUACUAGAAUUAUUUUUAUAAUAUUUAUUUUUGUUAUAAUAUUUUUUAAUAAUAAUUUUAUAAAUAUUUUAAUAUAUUUAAUUACUAUUAUAUUAAUUUUUUUAAUUGUUUGAAUUCGAAUUACAUUACCACGAACACGAUAUGAUAAUUUAAUAUAUUUUUGUUGAUAUUAUAAAUUACCUUUAAUUUUAGUAAUAUUUAUAGUAUAUUUAAUUAUACUUAAAUACCCAUUAGAAAUAUUUUUUUUAAUAAAUUAUAAAUAA